UGCCCCACAGUUCCCUGCCCGGGAACAAGGAGCUGGUAUCAGGCACAUCUUCUUGAGCCCACGACACCUUGCUUAGCCACACCCUCAAGGGAACUCAGCAGUGAUAAACAUUAAGCCAUAAGUGAAAACUUGACUUAGUUAAAGCUAAGAGGGCCGGUAAAACUCGUGCCAGCCACCGCGGUUAUACGAGAGGCCCAAGUUGACAAACACCGGCGUAAAGCGUGGUUAAGUUAAAAAUCACACUAAAGCCAAACAUCUUCAAGACUGUUAUACGUAACCGAAGACAGGAAGUUCAACCACGAAAGUGGCUUUAUCUGAUCUGAACCCACGAAAGCUAAGGAACAAACUGGGAUUAGAUACCCCACUAUGCCUAGCCCUAAACUUUGAUAGURCUAUACACCCACCACCCGCCCGGGUACUACGAGCAAUAGCUUAAAACCCAAAGGACUUGGCGGUGCUUUAGAUCCACCUAGAGGAGCCUGUUCUAGAACCGAUAACCCCCGUUCAACCUCACCCUUCCUUGUUUAACCCGCCUAUAUACCGCCGUCGUCAGCUUACCCUGUGAGGGACUAAUAGUAAGCAGAACUGGUACAACCUAAAACGUCAGGUCGAGGUGUAGCGAAUGGAGGGGGAAGAAAUGGGCUACAUUCGCUAACACAGCGAACACGAAUGAUGCACUGAAACACACAUCUGAAGGAGGAUUUAGCAGUAAGCUG
rnacentral:rRNA from 1 species